UUGCACUAACAGAGUGCAAAGCACAACCCCAUGCGAGUUAAAAGCAGGGAGACGGCUGGAAGUCACGCACUUUGCCUGCCAACCAGAUCCCUUCUGCUCUCCCUGUUCAGUGAAGGGCAAGGGUGGAUACAGGCAGAAAAUUGUGGCAUUCUGGAAGCUCCUGUGUUAACUGUAUACUUUAGUCUUCUAUUUACGUCCUGGUAACAUUUCUUAUUUUUUUGCCACAGGGCACUUCAAGUGUGCAUCAUGCUCUUAAACGAGGGGUGCAGUCCUCUGGAUACCGAAAUACUCCCUUGUUUCCCGACUGACAGUGAAUUUUGGGGCUGCCUAGAGUCCCAUCAGGAAGCUCCUCCACCCAUACUUCUUACCUGCGUUUCCUCAUGCCCUUUGCCAGUCAGAGUACCCUCGUUUAAGCUGUGGAUGUAAAGAAAUGUAUGUAAAAGGCUGAUUUUUAUUACGUCCCCUGAAGAGUGAAGUUCACCUAGCUCAGUGUGUGCUGUAAUCUAGCAAAGCUGUACCACAGCAUUUGGCAGGACUUCCCUGUACAGAGCAGCAUCCUUCAAGGACAGUUGGGAUAUCACUGAAGUAACUCUCAAAACAACACAACACUGUGCUAUCUCAGAUCUCAGCAGCUGGAGUAAGUGUGACCCACAGAAAUAAUGGCUCCAGAAGUGCCUGACCGCUGCUGAGUGCCACACAACACAGCUGUGUGUAGCUGUUAAUGGCAGCAACCAACAGCAAAGAAAUGAACAACUCUGCUACAGCACAGCCACCCUCCCAUGGUGUGUGACCAGUCUCCUGCAGCACAGCAGAAAACUUCACA
rnacentral:lncRNA from 1 species